rnacentral:piRNA from 1 species
UGGACAGAAGGCGGCAGGUGGGACGA